CACGUAGGGUGCGAGCGUUGUCCGGAAUUAUUGGGCGUAAAGAGCUCGUAGGCGGUGUGUCGCGUCGGCCGUGAAAACCUGUAGCUUAACUGUGGGCUUGCGGUCGAUACGGGCAUCACUGGAGUUCGGCAGGGGAGACUGGAAUUCCUGGUGUAGCGGUGAAAUGCGUAGAUAUCUGGAGGAACACCGGUGGCGAAGGCGGCAUCCUGGACCGGUAUUGACGCUGAGGCGCGAAAGCCAGGGGAGCAAACGGG
rnacentral:rRNA from 1 species